rnacentral:rRNA from 1 species
GACGAACGCUGGCGGCGUGCUUAACACAUGCAAGUCGAACGGAAAGGCCCUGCUUUUGUGGGGUGCUCGAGUGGCGAACGGGUGAGUAACACGUGAGUAACCUGCCCUUGACUUUGGGAUAACUUCAGGAAACUGGGGCUAAUACCGGAUAGGAGCUCCUGCUGCAUGGUGGGGGUUGGAAAGUUUCGGCGGUUGGGGAUGGACUCGCGGCUUAUCAGCUUGUUGGUGGGGUAGUGGCUUACCAAGGCUUUGACGGGUAGCCGGCCUGAGAGGGUGACCGGCCCCUUGGGGCCGGGGUUACGGCCCGACCUCCUCCGGGGGCAAGCAGUGGGGAUUAUUGCACAAUGGGCGGAAGCUUGAUGCAGCACCGCCGCGUGCGGGAUGACGGCCUCGGGUUGUAAACCGCUUUCGCCUGUGACGAAGCGUGAGUGACGGUAAUGGGUAAAGAAGCACCGGCUAACUACGUG